GAGCGCAACCCUUGUCCUUAGUUACCAGCACGUAAUGGUGGGCACUCUAAGGAGACUGCCGGUGACAAACCGGAGGAAGGUGGGGAUGACGUCAAGUCAUCAUGCCCCUUAUGUCCAGGGCUUCACGCAUGCUACAAUGGCUGGUACAGAGAGUGGCGAGCCUGUGAGGGUGAGCGAAUCUCGGAAAGCCGGUCUCAGUUCGGAUUGGGGUCUGCAACUCGACCUCAUGAAGUCGGAGUCGCUAGUAAUCGCAGAUCAGCAACGCUGCGGUGAAUACGUUCCCGGGGCUUGUACACACCGCCCGUCAAGUCAUGAAAGUUGGUAACACCCGAAGCCGGUGGCCUAACCGUUGUGGGGGAGCCGUCGAAGGUGGGACUGGUGAUUAGGACUAAGUCGUAACAAGGUAGCCGUACCGGAAGGUGCGGCUGGAUCACCUCCUU
rnacentral:rRNA from 1 species